GUCCCUUUAGGACAUCCGAUAAAAUUGGAACGAUACAGAGAAGAUUAACAUAGUCCCUGCGUAAGGAUGACACACUAAAACAAUAAAUGGUCCAAUUUUUU